rnacentral:rRNA from 1 species
GACGAACGCUGGCGGCGUGCUUAACACAUGCAAGUCGAACGGAAAGGCCCUGCUUUUGUGGGGUGCUCGAGUGGCGAACGGGUGAGUAACACGUGAGUAACCUGCCCUUGACUUUGGGAUAACUUCAGGAAACUGGGGCUAAUACCGGAUAGGAGCUCCUGCUGCAUGGUGGGGGUUGGAAAGUUUCGGCGGUUGGGGAUGGACUCGCGGCUUAUCAGCUUGUUGGUGGGGUAGUGGCUUACCAAGGCUUUGACGGGUAGCCGGCCUGAGAGGGUGACCGGCCACAUUGGGACUGAGAUACGGCCCAGACUCCUACGGGAGGCAGCAGUGGGGAAUAUUGCACAAUGGGCGGAAGCCUGAUGCAGCAACGCCGCGUGCGGGAUGACGGCCUUCGGGUUGUAAACCGCUUUCGCCUGUGACGAAGCGUGAGUGACGGUAAUGGGUAAAGAAGCACCGGCUAACUACGUGCCAGCAGCCGCGGUGAUACGUAAGGUGCGAGCGUUGUCCGGAUUUAUUGGGCGUAAAGGGCUCGUAGGUGGUUGAUCGCGUCGGAAGUGUAAUCUUGGGGCUUAACCCUGAGCGUGCUUUCGAUACGGGUUGACUUGAGGAAGGUAGGGGAGAAUGGAAUUCCUGGUGGAGCGGUGGAAUGCGCAGAUAUCAGGAGGAACACCAGUGGCGAAGGCGGUUCUCUGAGCCUUUCCUGACGCUGAGGAGCGAAAGCGUGGGGAGCGAACAGGCUUAGAUACCCUGGUAGUCCACGCUGUAAACGGUGGGUACUAGGUGUGGGGUCCAUUCCACGGGUUCCGUGCCGUAGCUAACGCUUUAAGUACCCCGCCUGGGGAGUACGGCCGCAAGGCUAAAACUCAAAGGAAUUGACGGGGCCCCGCACAAGCGGCGGAGCAUGCGGAUUAAUUCGAUGCAACGCGUAGAACCUUACCUGGGUUUGACAUGGAUCGGGAGCGCUCAGAGAUGGGUGUGCCUCUUUUGGGGUCGGUUCACAGGUGGUGCAUGGCUGUCGUCAGCUCGUGUCGUGAGAUGUUGGGUUAAGUCCCGCAACGAGCGCAACCCUUGUUCACUGUUGCCAGCACGUUAUGGUGGGGACUCAGUGGAGACCGCCGGGGUCAACUCGGAGGAAGGUGGGGAUGACGUCAAGUCAUCAUGCCCCUUAUGUCCAGGGCUUCACGCAUGCUACAAUGGCUGGUACAGAGAGUGGCGAGCCUGUGAGGGUGAGCGAAUCUCGGAAAGCCGGUCUCAGUUCGGAUUGGGGUCUGCAACUCGACCUCAUGAAGUCGGAGUCGCUAGUAAUCGCAGAUCAGCAACGCUGCGGUGAAUACGUUCCCGGG